CUCGGUUGGAGUCCCUCAAGGCCCUGUCCUUGGUCCCCUUCUAUUUUCUCUUUAUACUGCCUCCCUUGGCAAACUUAUUAACUCAUUUGGAUUCCAAUACCACCUGUACGUGGAUGACACCCAGAUAUAUCUCUCCUCCCCGGACCUCUCCCCUGCCGUCCUGCAAUGUGUCACUGCUUGCCUUUCUUCCAUCUCUGACUGGAUGUCCUCCUGCUUUCUGAAACUCAGUCUCACUAAAACUGAGCUCCUUGUCUUUCCUCCUCCUAAUACUGAUCCUCUUCUCUUGCUCUCCCUUCAAGUUAGUGGUAUCCACAUAAAUCCAUCCUUGCAAGCGCGCUGUCUUGGUGUCAUACUUGAUUCUGG